rnacentral:misc_RNA from 1 species
UAGGCAGCUUGUAAGUGCGUGG